rnacentral:rRNA from 1 species
UACGUAGGGUGCGAGCGUUAAUCGGAAUUACGGGGCGUAAAGCGUGCGCAGGCGGUUUUGUAAGCCAGUCGUGAAAUCCCCGGGCUUAACCUGGGAAUGGCGAUUGGGACUGCAAGGCUGGAGUAUGGCAGAGGAGACUGGAAUUCCUGGUGUAGCAGUGAAAUGCGUAGAUAUCAGGAGGAAUACCGAUGGCGAAGGCAGGUCUCUGGGCUGAUACUGACGCUCAUGCACGAAAGCGUGGGGAGCAAACAGG